GUUCACCUCUUGUUUAGUCUUCCUCUUUUCUAAAGCAGCACAGCAUGACCUCGCCCCCUUUGUUGCCUUUUUCCGAGGGCAGGGUUUAUCUGGGUUUGUUACGUCACG